UUAUGUUACUUUACCGAUAAUUUCUUUGAGUAUGAAGAAAGGUGUUCCACAGGUUGCAAAAUUCAAGUGGCUGGUCGUUUACAUCAUCAUUAUGAUUUUUGGAGAGCAAUUAAUGCCAAUUCCUAUGUAUUAGACAUAAUUAGCAACGGAUACAUGAUUCCGUUUUAUGAAACACCACCACACACGCCGAAUGUUGAGAAAUCCAAACAAGGGUUGAAUAAUCGCUCAGCCAUCAAUAAUAGCGAAUUUGUCACAAAUGCAAUUUCAGAUUUAUUAGAGACGCACUGCGUCUUGCCUUGCACAGAACAACCAUACAUAGUGAAUCCUUUGUCAGUUUCAGUACAAAAAUCAGGCAAGAGGAGAUUAAUACUAGAUUUGAGAGAAGUGAACAGGUUUUUAUGGAAGCUAUCUGUCAAGUACGAAGAUAUGCGUACAGCGAUGUUAUAUCUUCAAAAGGGGGGUUUUAUGUUCCAGUUUGACCUAAAAUCGGGAUACCACCAUAUUAGCAUUCGUACAGAACAUCAACAGUACUUGGGAUUUUCCUGGUUUUACAAAGGUGCCUUUACAUUCUUCAAGUUUACUGUAUUACCAUUUGGUUUAUCCACUGCCCCAUACGUUUUCACCAAAGUGGUGAGACCACUUGUACAGAAGUGGAGAAGUGAAGGUAAACAAAUAGUUGUGUUCCUAGACGAUGGUUUGUGUUAUGCAGAGAGCUUUCAGAAAGCCAGAGAGCACAGUGCUCAAGUUAAAGUUGACCUGGUCAAUGCGGGGUUCGUACCUAAUGUACAAAAGAGUACUUGGGACCCGGUUUCAGAGACCGAGUGGUUAGGUCUGAUAAUUGACCUAAAGAAUGGUUCUCUUGUUUUGCCAAACAGACGAAUAAACAGCAUCAAGGAACGAAUUCAAGAACUGUUAAUAACUCCCAAGUCAGCAGCUAAUCUUCAACAGUGAUAACUGGAGACACCGUUUCGAGAGGAGCGCCAACAAUCAAGACCUGAGUUCUCUCGC
rnacentral:misc_RNA from 1 species